GCGGGUAUAGCUCAGUGGUAUAGAGUGCAUGCUUAGAGUCCUGGGUUCAAUCCCCAGUACCUCCA
rnacentral:tRNA from 1 species